rnacentral:rRNA from 1 species
AUUGAACGCUGGCGGCAGGCCUAACACAUGCAAGUCGAGCGGAUGAAGGGAGCUUGCUCCUGGAUUCAGCGGCGGACGGGUGAGUAAUGCCUAGGAAUCUGCCUGGUAGUGGGGGAUAACGUCCUGAAACGGGCGCUAAUACCGCAUACGUCCUGAGGGAGAAAGUGGGGGAUCUUCGGACCUCACGCUAUCAUAUGAGCCUAGGUCGGAUUAGCUAGUUGGUGGGGUAAAGGCCUACCAAGGCGACGAUCCGUAACUGGUCUGAGAGGAUGAUCAGUCACACUGGAACUGAGACACGGUCCAGACUCCUACGGGAGGCAGCAGUGGGGAAUAUUGGACAAUGGGCGAAAGCCUGAUCCAGCCAUGCCGCGUGUGUGAAGAAGGUCUUCGGAUUGUAAAGCACUUUAAGUUGGGAGGAAGGGCAGUAAGUUAAUACCUUGCUGUUUUGACGUUACCAACAGAAUAAGCACCGGCUAACUUCGUG